rnacentral:tRNA from 2 species
GCCGAAGUGGCGAAAUUGGUAUACGCACCAGACUCAAAAUCUGGCGAGAGCAAUCUCAUGACGGUUCGACUCCGUCCUUCGGCA